rnacentral:lncRNA from 1 species
CGGGUAGUCAUUUCUUUAAUAGCAAUCAAAAUGUUUCCACACGCAGAAAAGCUUUCACCUUUUAAAGAAUAUUUUCCUUUGCUAAUCUAGGUGACCAGCUAACCUUCAUCCUGGGGAAACCACUGGCGGUGGCAGGGACUGGCUGCAGGAGAAGCACGUUUGUGGGUGAGGGUCGGGCUGGGCAGCUCUUUGCAGAGGAGGCUUGAGCAUAAUCUUAUAAUACCAAUAAAUGAAAAAUAUGCAUUGAGGGAAUCAAUAUACUGAUGAGUUCCUAUGGAAUAUAUGCAUCACAGCUACUUAAAAGUUGGACAGUAAGAGCAGAAAUGUCAACUAAAGGACAUUAUUCAGUACGAAACAUCUGCACCAAGUUGUGGAAUCAUGCAGAUGGUGUUCAAACAAAUCAAGAAGCUGAAGCUAAAAAACCACCCUGAUGGAGAAACUCAU